rnacentral:sRNA from 1 species
AGAAUUUGUAGAAUAAUAUACAGUAAAACCUCUAUAAAUUAAUAAUGUUGGGACCGCAAAAUUCUAUUAAUUUAUCGAUAAAUUAAUAAAUAUUAAUUUAUAGAGAGAUUUUUCUAAUUUGGUA